AUUGAACGCUGGCGGCAGGCCUAACACAUGCAAGUCGAGCGCGAAAGGCCUUCGGGCUGAGUAGAGCGGCGGACGGGUGAGUAACGCGUAGGAAUCUACCUGGUAGUGGGGGACAACUUGGGGAAACUCAAGCUAAUACCGCAUACGCCCCAAGGGGGAAAGCGGGGGACCUUCGGGCCUCGCGCUAUCAGAGGAGCCUGCGUAGGAUUAGCUAGUUGGUGAGGUAAAGGCUCACCAAGGCGACGAUCCGUAACUGGUCUGAGAGGAUGAUCAGUCACACUGGAACUGAGACACGGUCCAGACUCCUACGGGAGGCAGCAGUGGGGAAUAUUGGACAAUGGGCGAAAGCCUGAUCCAGCUAUGCCGCGUGUGUGAAGAAGGUCUUCGGAUUGUAAAGCACUUUAAGUUGGGAGGAAGGGCAGUAAGCUAAUACCUUGCUGUUUUGACGUUACCGACAGAAUAAGCACCGGCUAACUCUGUGCCAGCCGCCGCCGUAAGAC
rnacentral:rRNA from 1 species